GGUUAAGUGACUAAGCGUACACGGUGGAUGCCUUGGCAGUCAGAGGCGAUGAAAGACGUAGUAACUUGCGAUAAGCCCAGAUUAGGUAGUAACAACCAUUUGAGUCUGGGAUUUCUGAAUGGGGAAACCCACGUGCAUAAGCACGUAUCCUUACCUGAAUACAUAGGGUAAGGAGGCGAACCGGGGGAACUGAAACAUCUAAGUACCCCGAGGAAAAGAAAUCAACCGAGAUUCCGAAAGUAGCGGCGAGCGAAAUUGGACUAGCCCUUAAGCUUUACACACGUUAGACGAACGGUCUGGAAAGUCCGACGAUACAGGGUGAUAGUCCCGUAGUUGACGACGUGUGUUCAGUGAAAUCGAGUAGGGCGGGACACGUGAUAUCCUGUCUGAAUAUGGGGGGACCAUCCUCCAAGGCUAAAUACUACUGACUGACCGAUAGUGAACCAGUACCGUGAGGGAAAGGCGAAAAGAACCCCUGUGAGGGGAGUGAAAUAGAACCUGAAACCGUGUACGUACAAGCAGUAGGAGCAGGCUUUGUCCUGUGACUGCGUACCUUUUGUAUAAUGGGUCAGCGACUUAUAUUCAGUGGCAAGGUUAACCAUCUAGGGGAGCCGUAGGGAAACCGAGUCUUAACUGGGCGUUCAGUCUCUGGAUAUAGACCCGAAACCAGGUGAUCUAGCCAUGGGCAGGUUGAAGGUUGAGUAACAUCAACUGGAGGACCGAACCGACUAAUGUUGAAAAAUUAGCGGAUGACUUGUGGCUAGGGGUGAAAGGCCAAUCAAACCUGGAGAUAGCUGGUUCUCCCCGAAAGCUAUUUAGGUAGCGCCUCGGACGAAUACUACUGGGGGUAGAGCACUGUUAAGGCUAGGGGGUCAUCCCGACUUACCAACCCUUUGCAAACUCCGAAUACCAGUAAGUACUAUCCGGGAGACACACGGCGGGUGCUAACGUCCGUCGUGGAGAGGGAAACAACCCAGACCGCCAGCUAAGGUCCCAAAUUACUACUAAGUGGGAAACGAUGUGGGAAGGCUCAGACAGCCAGGAUGUUGGCUUAGAAGCAGCCAUCAUUUAAAGAAAGCGUAAUAGCUCACUGGUCGAGUCGGCCUGCGCGGAAGAUGUAACGGGGCUAAGUAGUAAACCGAAGCUGCGGCAAUGUGCUUUUGCACAUUGGGUAGGGGAGCGUUCUGUAAGCGGUUGAAGGUGUGUGGUAACGCAUGCUGGACGUAUCAGAAGUGCGAAUGCUGACAUGAGUAACGAUAAAGGGGGUGAAAAACCUCCUCGCCGGAAGACCAAGGGUUCCUGUCCAACGUUAAUCGGGGCAGGGUAAGUCGACCCCUAAGGCGAGGCCGAAAGGCGUAGUCGAUGGGAAACGGGUUAAUAUUCCCGUACUUCUUACAAUUGCGAUGGGGGGACGGAGAAGGCUAGGUGGGCCUGGCGACGGUUGUCCAGGUUCAAGUGCGUAGGCUUAAGAGUUAGGUAAAUCCGGCUCUUUUUAAGGCUGAGACACGACGUCGAGCCACUACGGUGGUGAAGUCAUUGAUGCCAUGCUUCCAGGAAAAGCCUCUAAGCUUCAGAUUGUAAGGAAUCGUACCCCAAACCGACACAGGUGGUCGGGUAGAGAAUACCAAGGCGCUUGAGAGAACUCGGGUGAAGGAACUAGGCAAAAUGGUACCGUAACUUCGGGAGAAGGUACGCUCUUGAUGGUGAAGUCCCUCGCGGAUGGAGCUGACGAGAGUCGCAGAUACCAGGUGGCUGCAACUGUUUAUUAAAAACACAGCACUGUGCAAAAUCGUAAGAUGACGUAUACGGUGUGACGCCUGCCCGGUGCCGGAAGGUUAAUUGAUGGGGUUAGACUUCGGUCGAAGCUCUUGAUCGAAGCCCCGGUAAACGGCGGCCGUAACUAUAACGGUCCUAAGGUAGCGAAAUUCCUUGUCGGGUAAGUUCCGACCUGCACGAAUGGCGUAAUGAUGGCCACGCUGUCUCCACCCGAGACUCAGUGAAAUUGAAAUCGCUGUGAAGAUGCAGUGUACCCGCGGCUAGACGGAAAGACCCCGUGAACCUUUACUACAGCUUGGCACUGAACAUUGACCCUACAUGUGUAGGAUAGGUGGGAGGCUUUGAAGCACGUACGCCAGUAUGUGUGGAGCCGUCCUUGAAAUACCACCCUUGUAGUGUUGAUGUUCUAACGUCGACCCCUAAUCGGGGUUGCGGACAGUGCCUGGUGGGUAGUUUGACUGGGGCGGUCUCCUCCCAAAGAGUAACGGAGGAGCACGAAGGUGGGCUAAUCACGGUUGGACAUCGUGAGGUUAGUGCAAUGGCAUAAGCCCGCUUGACUGCGAGAAUGACAAUUCGAGCAGGUGCGAAAGCAGGUCAUAGUGAUCCGGUGGUUCUGAAUGGAAGGGCCAUCGCUCAACGGAUAAAAGGUACUCCGGGGAUAACAGGCUGAUACCGCCCAAGAGUUCAUAUCGACGGCGGUGUUUGGCACCUCGAUGUCGGCUCAUCACAUCCUGGGGCUGAAGUCGGUCCCAAGGGUAUGGCUGUUCGCCAUUUAAAGUGGUACGCGAGCUGGGUUUAGAACGUCGUGAGACAGUUCGGUCCCUAUCUGCCGUGGGCGUUGGAAGAUUGAAGGGGGCUGCUCCUAGUACGAGAGGACCGGAGUGGACGAACCUCUGGUGUUCGGGUUGUGUCGCCAGACGCAUUGCCCGGUAGCUAAGUUCGGAAUCGAUAACCGCUGAAAGCAUCUAAGCGGGAAGCGAGCCCUGAGAUGAGUCUUCCCUGAUACUUUAAGUAUCCUAAAGGGUUGUCGGAGACUACGACGUUGAUAGGUCAGGUGUGUAAGUGCUGUGAGGCAUUGAGCUAACUGAUACUAAUUGCCCGUGAGGCUUAACCAU
rnacentral:rRNA from 1 species